rnacentral:rRNA from 1 species
AGCGAACGCUGGCGGCAGGCUUAACACAUGCAAGUCGAACGGGCACUUCGGUGCUAGUGGCCGACGGGUGAGUAACACGUGGGAACGUACCUUUCGGUUCGGAAUAAUCCAGGGAAACUUGGACUAAUACCGGAUACGCCCUUCGGGGGAAAGAUUCAUCGCCGCUGGAUCGGCACGCGUCUGAUUAGCUAGUUGGUGAGGUAAUGGCUCACCAAGGCGACGAUCAGUAGCUGGUCUGAGAGGAUGGUCAGCCACAUUGGGACUGAGACACGGCCCAAACUCCUACGCGAGGCGGCAGUGGGGAAUAUUGGACCAUGGGCGCAAUCCUGAUCCAGCCAUGCCGCGUGAGUGAUGAAGGCCUUAGGGUUGUAAAGCUCUUUUGUCCGGGAAGAUAAUGACUGUACCGGAAGAAUAAGCCCCGGCUAACUUCGUG